AAGGCUGUGAGUGUGUGUGGGACCGGCUGAGGACUCUGUGUACCUACAGUUUGCUUUGUGACCGACUGCGUGUGCUUGUGUGUGGGUUCGGGAGCAAAUGAAGCGGGCGAACGACUAUGAUGUGUAAAAUGUACGGAAAAAAAGACUGAUUAUUCUGGAAGUUAACUCAUUUUGAAGGACUCAAGAUUUUGGAGGCUACUUUUUGAUAAGAAAAAAAUCAUUUUUGGUCACAUUUUUGAUAAAACCGCCGUUCUCAAAACUGCAAGUGGGCUCUGAUGACCGUACAGUGAGGGAACGGCCGUGAGUUUGACGCGUUGAUGGAGGAGUGAAAGUCGUUCGGCUCUGACCCCCGAACAAUGAGCUCCGACGUGAAGGGAGCAGACAGCCGCCAUCAUGGAAAUGUCACGGCCAACAUCAGAGACCCGACAGCCUCCUCUUUCAUUCCCUUAAUCCACAAUCCCUCCUCUCCUCUCCUGAGCGGCAUACAUAUUCAGCAGCUCAAGUCCUCACCAUUCUAAUGAGGGCUAGACCAGCGGGCUAUGAAAGAGAGGAGAGAUACGGGGAGGUUGGUGGGUGGUGGAUGGGUGGGGGGUUUAAAAGAGAGGAGAGACCGUCUUUGAACUGCCAAAGAAAGAGAGAGACGAGGAUGAAUAGAUGGAUGGUGAUGAGAAGGAUGGAAAGAGUGAGACGGGAUACAGAUCAAAUGCUCCUGAUUCUCUCCUGUGGUCUAUACACAGAAGGGUUAGUUGUGUUCGAUUUAAACGUCCUGUUGUGUUUCAUACACUCUCAGACACUUUAAGGCUUUUUGGUGUAUUCCAGUUAAAGAGUUUGAAGAUCCUGUCAUCAUUUACUCAUUCCAAACCUGUAUGACAGGUUAGCAGAAUGUUUACAGAACAACGUACGUGACCAGAGCUUUGGAACGACAUGAAAAGAAUGAGAUCAUAUUUUUAUAUUUUAUAUUAAUUUAAUAUGCAGAGAUACUUUUUUUUUAGUUUGGAAACCGGUUACAUUAUUUUUGCAGUUCCAUUUGGCACAAGUAUAAGAAAAACAUAAAAUGAGAAGGGAGAUAACAAUAAUUCCAGAAGUAAAAUAAUAUUCUGAAGUAGUAAAAAAAAAAUUAAAAUUAAAUGUAGAGUAGAAAUGCGUAACACGUAGGUGACUAACUUUUUGCUUUUAAUUAUUGGCAUCUGUCUGUUUGAGCAGAUUUUACAAACAGAAAAACAUCAAAGUAUAUAUAAAUAAUAUACAGACACACACACACACACUACCGGUCAAAAGUUUUUGAACGGUAAGAUUUUUUAAUGUUUUUAAAAGAAGGCUCACCAAGGCUUCAUUUAUUUGAUCCAUAAUACAGCAAAAACAGUAAUAUUGUGGAAUAUUUUUACAAUUUAAAAUUAUGGUUUUCUAUUUUAAUAUACUUUAAAAAUAUAAUUUAUUUCUGUGAUCAAAGCUGAAUUUUCAGCAACAUUACUCCAGUCUUCAGUGUCACAUGAUCCUUCAGAAAUCAUUCUAAUAUGAUGAUUUGAUGCUCAAGAAACAUUUAUGAUUAUUAUCACUGUUGAAAACAGUUGUGUACUUUUUGUUUUUUUUCAGGAAUAUUUGAUGAACAGAAAUUUAUCUGAAAUGGAAAGCUUUUGUAACAUUAUCCCUACCGUUCAAAAGUUUGGGGUCAGUAAGAGUUUUUUUUUUUUUUUGGAAAGAAAUGAAAGAAAUUAAUAAUUUUAUUCAGCAAGGAUGCAUUCAAUUGAUCAAAAGUGACAGUAAAGACAUUGCAAAAUCUUUAUAAUGCAGAUAAAUGCUGUUCUUUUGAACUUUCUAUUCAUCAAAUAAUCCUGAAAAAAAAAAAAAAAAAAAAAUUACACAACAGUACAAACUGACUUCUUUUAAAAACAUUUAUAUAUAAAAAAAAAAAAAACAUACUGUAUAAAAACUUUUGAGAUUAUAUAUAUAUGUAGACUUCAAAAUAGUUUCUAGUUGUCCCCAAAGGCUAGCUUUUGAUGAAACUUUUGUGCGAUCUAUCUUUAAUUAUCUUUAAUAAUUAUCUUUUACCAUUAAAUCCCAACAAUAAUUAUAUUUUUAACAUUAGAAACACUACUGUGACUCAAGAGCUUACACAUACUGGUGUGAAUUAACCAUUACAGAAACAUAAAAAAUGAUUUUGGUGAUCACUAAUACUGUUAGUUUAGAGCAGCUGUGCCACAAACCUUACAUUGGCUGCUGGUCUAAUAAAUUUGUUAAAUAUAUAUAUAUACAGUACACACACACAUAUAUAUAUAUAUAUAUAUAUAUAUAUAUAUAUACACACACACACAUACACACAAAAAUCAUUUUAAUUACACAACUUGCUGUAAAAAGGCUGUAUUAUAUCUGCAAUCACACUGGUUAUAAACAUAAACAUAUACAUAUUAUAUAUAUAUAUAUAUAUAUAUAUAUAUAUAUAUAUAUAUAUAUAUAUAUAUAUAUUUAUAUUCGGCAAUUAGUAUUAUCUAAAAUUUCUGUAUCGGUGCAUCCCUAGUUCACAGCCACAAAAAGGAGACAUUUUUAGCUGUAACUAAAGCAGUCUCUGGGCAUAUCUGCUCAAAUGAAUGCUGCAGUGGUGUGAAAUUGGUCAUUUUCAGCACUCCUACACUCUUGUAAAAGUAGAAGAGGGUGCCUGAGGUCUAUUUUCCCCUCCUCACACACCGCUAGCAGCAGGAGGCAGGAAGCGCAGCCUGAGAGACUCUCUGGCCGCGCUAUCAGAAGGGGAAGUUCCCAGUCUCAUUCCCAUUCGCCGCUUUACAAACCAGAUGUUUCAUGGCCUGGCUCUGGUUAUUGGAACAGAGCGAUAGUGCCAAACAUACAGUGCACUUCAAUCCGACGCUGUAAGCAAGUGCUCCUCAGUAAAUGAGGGAAUGCAUUUUUAAUAGGAGAUAGAGGGACUUUGAGACAUUCAUUCACUCACGCGUGCAAGCGGUCCAUUGGUCGUCCAUUGCUGGUGUGAGCAGGUGUGUGAAAGGUGAUAACAGAGCCUGCUCUGGGGUUCACCGAGGUUGAGGGUUUCACCUGCUCACAAACACACACACACACACACAUAUACAUACACACAUGUAGGCCACCAGCCGUUAAACCGUUUCACUUAGCUGAAACCAGGUGCAAUACCCAACACUAGAGCUCUUGGUUUCAGUGAAGAUCUAGCUGAAGUCAAUAUCUGAAUUGUAUUCAAUAACACAGCUUGGGCUGCAUAAUUAUUAGGGUAAAAUAAUCCACAGUUAUGAUGUGUGUCAUUUUGCAAUCAAUCAUAAAAUCUGUAUUUGUAAUCAUGCGCUCCUGAAUGAAUUUAUUGCCAUUUUAUACAUCAAAUGCAGACCUAAACAGUCAACUUCAAAUUGGCACUGUAGCAGCAUUAAAAAAAAAAAAAAAAAAAAAAAAAAAUUAAAAUCUGAAUAAAUUAUACACAGAAAGUUACAAUACUAGAAUACUCCCAUCGCAUUAUAUUUAACUAGAUCUAAGAGUAUUUUAAUGGCUCCGCAUUUUAUUGUUGGAGGGACAGUUAAUUAGUUAACUUUAACAUGAUAUUGCAUUUUUGGUACCCUUGUGAAAAAGAAAUUUUAGCAUACUUUUAAAAAGCGAACUUAUUACAGGUAUAAUGUACUUUAAAAGAAUAAUCUUAAGUGCAACUGAAUGUAUUGUUUUUGGAUACUUAAUUGCAUUUUAAUUGCAACUGAAUGAAAAUGUAUUGUAAUUUAAAUGUAAUAUAAAAUGACACACUAAAGUUCAAAUUAUAUACAAGUACUUUACAUGUGCUUUAGUAGAUUAAAACAUCAAAAUAAGUGUACUUCUUUACAGCACUACAAAAGAUUAAAACUUUUAAUUUGACACCUAACUGUUUUAAAAAAAACAUGAAAAGUCAUGAAAGCACUUAAAUUUAAGUGGCUUUUUGUUUCAUUAAUAUUAUAUUAUCUGCAUGUAAAGUUUAUUAAAAUAUAAAUUUAAGAUUUGAAAAACACAUUCAAUAGAAUUAAGCACACUUCUUUUUUUUUUUUUUUUUCUUUCUUUUUUUUUCCACAAACAUAGAAGUGCACAUCAACAUUAAUAUUAUGGCCGAUACCGAUAAACCAAUAAUUAUUUUCAUGUUAUAGCCGAUAACCAAUAAAUGACUUAUAUUUUGUCGAAAUAAAUUAACAAUAAAACACAAAAAAAAUAAAAUAAAAUGCUAGAAGUGAAUUUAUGAAUCACAACAAAAUGGAUAAUUAUUCUAAGAUUUAACAGUGUUAAUAAAUUACUAGUGUUUUUAAAGAUUAAAUUAGUGUUAUAUGAGUAAUCUAAAUAUAAAAAUAAGGGAAAUGAGUAUGUUUAAUAAUUAAAUUAAAUAUACAAUAUCAGCCUAUAUAUAUAUAUAUAUAUAUAUAUAUAUAUAUAUAUAUAUAUAUAUAUAUAUAUAUAUAUAUAUAUAUAUACAUAAAAUGAGAGAAAACAAUAAAUAAAAAAGAAAAACUCGCCCAAUAAUAAUCUCCAGCAGUAUCACCACAGACCCCCUGUUAACUAAAAAUGAUUAAAGGGAUACUUCAUCACUGGCAAAAUAUGCUUUCAAUAAAAACUUGGCUGCCUAUAGAGUAGAAAGGUGAAAAAAUUCAGUGCUACCUGAGAAAACAGAGAAAAAAGGCUGUUGUUUCCCUUUUGCCAAAUAGGUAGGAAAACUUUAACACCCAUAAUGCACUUGGGCACAUUGCCGUCCAAGUCCACUCCCAUCAGUCAGGUAUGGAUAUGCUUAGCAGAGUCAAAUACCAUCUUGCUUUAGUAGGAAAUACUUCUUAGUAAACUUUUAAUCAUAAUGGUGUCGACUUGUAUUGUUCCCGGGUUCAAGAAUUCAAAGCGUAAACGUUUACCGGGAGUGAGUUAUUUUCAGUUUCCAGUGGAUCUAGAGCGUUGUAGGCAGCGGCUAAAGGCUGCAAAAAAUAAAGUAAGAGCGCCGCGACUGAAAGAAA